rnacentral:rRNA from 1 species
GAUGAACGCUAGCUACAGGCUUAACACAUGCAAGUCGAGGGGCAGCACAGAGAUAGCUUGCUAUCUUGGGUGGCGACCGGCGCACGGGUGAGUAACGCGUAUCCAACCUGCCCAUUACUCUGGGAUAGCCUUGCGAAAGUAAGAUUAAUACCGGAUGUUGUUAAAAACCCGCAUGAGUUUUUAACCAAAGAUUUAUUGGUAAUGGAUGGGGAUGCGUGACAUUAGGUAGUUGGUGAGGUAACGGCUCACCAAGCCUACGAUGUCUAGGGGUUCUGAGAGGAAGGUCCCCCACACUGGAACUGAGACACGGUCCAGACUCCUACGGGAGGCAGCAGUGAGGAAUAUUGGUCAAUGGACGAGAGUCUGAACCAGCAAAGUAGCGUGCAGGAUGACGGCCCUCUGGGUUGUAAACUGCUUUUAGUUGGGAAUAAAAAGAGGGACGUGUCCCUAAUUGUAUGUACCAUCAGAAAAAGGACCGGCUAAUUCCGUGCCAGCAGCCGCGGUAAAAC